UACAGAGGUCUCAAGCGUUGUUCGGAUUCAUUGGGCGUAAAGGGUGCGUAGGCGGCUUGUCGCGUCGACUGUGAAAACCCGCGGCUCAACCGCGGGCCUGCAGCCGAUACGGGCAGGCUAGAGUUCGGUAGGGGAGACUGGAAUUCCUGGUGUAGCGGUGAAAUGCGCAGAUAUCAGGAGGAACACCGAUGGCGAAGGCAGGUCGCUGGGACGUAACUGACGCUGAGACGCGAAAGCGUGGGGAGCAAACAGG
rnacentral:rRNA from 1 species